GAUGAACGCUGGCGGCGUGCCUAAUACAUGCAAGUCGAGCGAACAGAUGAGGAGCUUGCUCCUCUUACGUUAGCGGCGGACGGGGGAGUAACACGUGGAUAACCUACCUAUAAGACUGGGAUAACUUCGGGAAACCGGAGCUAAUACCGGAUAAUAUAUUGAACCGCAUGGUUCAAUAGUGAAAGACGGUUUUGCUGUCACUUAUAGAUGGAUCCGCGCCGCAUUAGCUAGUUGGUAAGGUAACGGCUUACCAAGGCAACGAUGCGUAGCCGACCUGAGAGGGUGAUCGGCCACACUGGAACUGAGACACGGUCCAGACUCCUACGGGAGGCAGCAGUAGGGAAUCUUCCGCAAUGGGCGAAAGCCUGACGGAGCAACGCCGCGUGAGUGAUGAAGGUCUUCGGAUCGUAAAACUCUGUUAUUAGGGAAGAACAAAUGUGUAAGUAACUAUGCACGUCUUGACGGUACCUAAUCAGAAAGCCACGGCUAACUACGUG
rnacentral:rRNA from 1 species